CCCCCCUCUGGGUUGGUUAACAGGACCUCCUGUGUAUGUCUCUCUCUCUCGCUCUCUCUCUCUCUCUACUAGGUUGGUUAACAGGACCUCCUGUGUAUAUCCCUUCCUCUUGGUUAACAGGACCUCCUGUGUAUGCUCCCCUUCCCUCUAGGUUGGUUUACAGGGCCUCCUGUGUACAUCCCUUCCUCUUGGUUAACAGGACCUCCUGUGUAUAUCCCUUCCUCUUGGUUAACAGGACCUCCUGUGUAUAUCCCUUCCUCUUGGUUAACAGGACCUCCUGUGUAUAUCCCUUCCUCUUGGUUAACAGGACCUCCUGUGUAUGCCCCCCCGCCCCCUCUAGGUUGGUUAACAGGACCUCCUGUGUACGCUAUCCCUCCCUCUAGGUUGGUUUACAGGGCCUCCUGUGUAUGUCCUCCCUCUUCGUUAAAGGGCGUCCUGUAUGUUCUCUCUCUCAAGCUUUGACACCCACUAGAAUAGAGAACCAACUCUCCUGGAGAUCUACUGGGUAUUGUAGGCUUUUGCUCCAGCCCUGCACUAGAUUCACACACCUGAUACAGCCAACCAGGGUCCUGAGGGGCAGAUCAUUAGUAGAAUCAGGUGUUUUAUAGUAGGGUUGGAACACAACCCUGCAUGCGGUAAGCUACUGUUCCCCAGGCAGCUCUAGAACCCAGGGAAUGUACUAAACAUGAGGGACUGGAUGGUUGUGUUGCGCUAGCAGGGUCAUGGUUGUGAAGUGGUUCACAGCUGGAUUUGUGUUACAGAAAGGGUUUCAAGCUUUUGCUGGUGUGUGGUGUGUGGUGUGUGUGUGUGUGUGAGGAUGUUAGUGUGUGUGAGGAUGUUAGUGUGUGUGAGGAUGAGUGUGUGUGUGAGGAUGUGUGUGUGUGAGGAUGUUGAGGAUUGUGUGUGUGAGGAUGUUAGUGUGUGUGUGUGUUGUAAUUCCCUCAGUGUGGGGUGUUGAUCCUCUGCACCUCCCGUGGAGGUUCUUAAACAUGGCGUCUCCUGGGGUCAUCCUGGGCUGAGUCCCAAAAAGCACCCUAUUCUGCCCUCUAGGGAAUAGGGUGCAAUUUCAGAUGCGGUCUAGUCGAGGAGUUGACCUCUCAAAUCAAAUUUCAGGACUCAUACUCACAAAAUUUCUGAGUACGAGUGCUGAUUUUAGGAUCAGGUCCCUCUUGUCUAUAUAAUGUUGUUCGUUUUUAAGCAAUCAGGCACGAUUGUGUGGUAUACGGCCAAUAUUCUGCGGCCAUGGGCUGUUAUGCGCAACGCGGAGUUCCUGGAUACAGCCCUUAGCUGUGGUAUAUUGUCCAUAUACCACAAACCCCCGAGGUGCUUUAUUGCUAUUAUAAACUGAUUAUCAACGUAAUUACAACAGUAAAAAAUAAAUGUUUUGUCAUACCCGUGGUAUACGGUCUGAUAUACCAUGGAUGUCAGCCAAUCAGCAUUCAGGGCUUGAACCACACAGCUUAUCGGAUUUAAACGUCAAAACCAACUGUGGUGCUCUGAGGCCCUUUUGAGUACAAGCUCUGCUCUCCGUUAAACAGUGAUCUCUCUCUCUCUCUCCAUUCUACCCUGGUUUGGUGUACAGAAAGCAUCUGCUUGCAUCCCAAAUGGCACCCUAUUCCCUACAUGGGGCUCUGGUCAAGAGUAGUGCACUAAAUAGGGAAUAGGGUGUCAUUUGGGACUCCACCCUAUGUAUUAUAACAGGCGUAUUCUCUUCAUAUUCAUUUGUUUUCUUAUUGCUUUGUGUGUAUUUGUAUGAUCUGUUCUGACAGCUGAAGGCUCUCAAUGACUUUUACACCACUCUGUUUUCCAACAACUUUCUCUGUGCUUUUUGAGAAACAAUUAACAGGUCAUUUAUCAGUUUUUUUUUUUGUAGGGCAACAAGUUGUAUUGGAAAAUGUAUUUUUGUAUGUAUUGUCUAUCACCUUUAAAAGAGACCAUUAAAUCCAUAAAACCCCUAGCUCUCCUUUGUCUUGUUUUGUCAUCUCAUUGACUCUGUUCUCUGUAGACUCUAGAGAAUCAUUGUAUCACCUAAACUGUUGUGAAAUAUCUUUCCAAUAACC
ensembl:lncRNA